rnacentral:rRNA from 1 species
GACGUAGGGGGCGAGCGUUGUCCGGAUUUAUUGGGCGUAAAGAGCUCGUAGGCGGCUCAGAAAGUCGGGUGUGAAACCUCCAGGCUCAACCUGGAGACGCCACCUGAUACUGCUGUGGCUAGAGUCCGGUAGGGGAACACGGAAUUCCCGGUGUAGCGGUGAAAUGCUUAGAUAUCGGGAGGAACACCAGUGGCGAAGGCGGUGUUCUGGGCCGGAACUGACGCUGAGGAGCGAAAGCGUGGAUAGCAAACAGG